CCUUGAAGACGACGAGGUAGAUAGGACAGAGGUGGAAGUGCAGUAAUGUAUGGAGCUGACUGUUACUAAUCGGUCGAGGGCAUAACCAA
rnacentral:ncRNA from 1 species